rnacentral:rRNA from 1 species
AUGGGAGGGAAGUCACCCUUCUCCUUCUUCUGCCCGAUGUUCAGCUUCCUGUCGAGGUCGAGUUCGAGCUCGAGGUACGACGACGGCUACAUGAGCGACUGGGAGACCGAGACCCGGCGGAGGUGCGGGAGCAAGGUGCGGUCCAGCGACGAGGACUCCGGCUGGUGGGUCGGUGAGCGCGACGUCGACCGCAAGGCCGCCAACUACAUCAACGACUUCCACCAGAAAAAGGCACCACCAACACCUAGCUAG